GAUGAACGCUGGCGGCGUGCCUAAUACAUGCAAGUCGAGUGAACAGACGAGGAGCUUGCUCCUCUGACGUUAGCGGCGGACGGGUGAGUAACACGUGGAUAACCUACCUAUAAGACUGGGAUAACUUCGGGAAACCGGAGCUAAUACCGGAUAAUAUAUUGAACCGCAUGGUUCAAUAGUGAAAGACGGUUCUGCUGUCACUUAUAGAUGGAUCCGCGCCGCAUUAGCUAGUUGGUAAGGUAACGGCUUACCAAGGCAACGAUGCGUAGCCGACCUGAGAGGGUGAUCGGCCACACUGGAACUGAGACACGGUCCAGACUCCUACGGGAGGCAGCAGUAGGGAAUCUUCCGCAAUGGGCGAAAGCCUGACGGAGCAACGCCGCGUGAGUGAUGAAGGUCUUCGGAUCGUAAAACUCUGUUAUUAGGGAAGAACAAAUGUGUAAGUAACUAUGCACGUCUUGACGGUACCUAAUCAGAAAGCCACGGCUAACUACGUG
rnacentral:rRNA from 1 species